rnacentral:rRNA from 1 species
GAUGAACGCUGGCGGCGUGCCUAAUACAUGCAAGUCGAGCGAACAGACGAGGAGCUUGCUCCUCUGACGUUAGCGGCGGACGGGUGAGUAACACGUGGAUAACCUACCUAUAAGACUGGGAUAACUUCGGGAAACCGGAGCUAAUACCGGAUAAUAUAUUGAACCGCAUGGUUCAAUAGUGAAAGACGGUUUUGCUGUCACUUAUAGAUGGAUCCGCGCCGCGUUAGCUAGUUGGUAAGGUAACGGCUUACCAAGGCAACGAUGCGGAGCCGACCUGAGAGGGUGAGCAGCAACACUGGAACUAAGACACGGUCCAGACUCCGACGGGAGGAAGCAGUGGGGAAUAUUGGACAAUGGUCGCAAGCCUGAUCCAGCCAUAUAGCGUGGGUGAAGAAGGUCUUCGGGUUGUAAACCCCUUUUGUUGGAAAAGAAAAGCAGCAGGAGAACAACCCGAUGGUCGGACGGAACCCAAAGAAGAAGCACCGGCUAACUUCGUG